AGCUAAACUAGUCUCACAAGACAGCUCGGAGGCUUGCAUAGACUAUUUUUUGUAUGUAGUGCAACUGAGGUAUAUACAGGAAGAGGCAGCGAGAGAGGAGACAGGGAAGCAGCUAACAUAUAGAGUCAACAAAAAUUAACAGCAUAUGCAAAACAGCAACGACAUAAGCAAACAACAGAAAGAAAAAAACAACAGCAAUGCAGCAAACUGAUUUACGCUUGUUUGGCAAAUUUGAGUACGUAAUGUGACUAGCGUAAAAGGCACAAAACACGGCGAACUGUCAACGCCAAGUGUUAAAAAUGUCAAAUAAAUAAUGCUAGAGCAGCAGCAGCAACAACAACUACAUCAGUAACAACAGCAAUGACAAACAAGUACACUAAUGAGCUGCCUGAUAAAUGCAAUGCAAACUUAAAACUUGAACCUCGCACGCAGCUCUCGAUCUGUUAGAGCAAAAGUUUUCCACGAAGCGUAUGCAAACAGCCAAAGCAGCCAACAUCAACAGCAGCAACUCACCCACCCCCGCCCCUGUUGCCCAUGGAAAGCCAAUUUGCAUACAAAACCGAGCCCAACCGAACCGAAGCCAAGUCGCUAAGCUAAUGCCAGUCACAAGCCACGCCGUCACACGGGACGUAUGCGCAACGCACGCACAGAGUUAUGGGCGAUUUGCUGGUGCAACAAAAUGCUAGUAGUGUAAAGAAAAAGAAAACUAAAUUUUUAAACAUUUUGUACACGAAGUGCCAAUCCAGGUUUCUACUGUUUCCGAUAACUGCAUAGCAGCUGAUAAAGUGAUGGGUAACAUUAAAAUAUUUAAUGAGAAAUUCGCAGUAUUGAAAUGAGUCUAGAGUUCAAAACAAAAGAACAACGCAUGCCAACUAGUUGUUUAAGCAAGACAAAUGCAAAUAUGUAUUGAGGCCACACCGAAGAUGUGUGGGGAUGGAGGUGGACAGCAGCAAGUGCUACGAUAAGGACCACACCGAGCAUUUGAUAAGGCGGAGACUGUGCCAAGAGCGUAGUCGGCGAGAAGAGCAGAUAAAAUGCUCAUGGGCAAGUUCAAAGAGCCGACAAGGCAAGCGUCGUCACAGCAUCAAACAAAGUGAGCAACAAAUUAGAGGAGACAACUACCAAGAAAUUCUAUUGAAUGAGUCUGGAUGCGUUGUGGAUGCCGUCGACGCUUGCGUCAUCAAAUUUGUAGCUGGUUAUCAGCAGCAGGCGCUGACGACGGCGGCUGAUAAGACCGAGUGAACUACAAAGAGCUAAAGCUGUAGCCAGCACAUUCCGUAGCCCCGUCGCAUUUUCAUUUUGUGUCCUUAUCAAUUUUACGACUUCCUUUGGCUUCGUCGGACAACUCGGACCACCGGCUCGUUGCAAUUAGCCUGAUUUUCGAAUGCUGGGACCGUAGCCCGUGACUCGCUUUGGUA